AUCUUUUUUUCUGUUGUUUUUGCAGCCUCAGUAAGCUUAAACAAUGUCUGCCUUCACAUGGCUUCAUACCAGGCCCACUGGCACGCUAGCACAAGAUGAUCCUUUCCUGAAAAAAAUAGGCUGUGAAAGACCUGCUCGCUCUUUAAAAGGCCUGAGAAAACACUGCCUGUCCACAGCAGCACUGGGUGGCGCUGUCGGCCCUGCUCAGCAGACACUGCUCAUGUGACCUGACAGACUGCCACCCUAUUGGCUUUCUCUUCCUCACCUGGGCCUUUUUGCUUCGGAGACCCGAGAAAUACUCUUAAACCUGGGGAAUACAACAAAGAGCACGCGGGCGCAAUCUUUCAUGGCGGCGAGGAGGCGGAUCUGAAAAGCCUUUACUUAUUUAUUUGUUUUUUCAUAAAAAGACGAACGUCGGAACAUUAGAAAAACCCUUUGGCCUCCUGGGGCGGUCUCCCCAGCCUGCUGAGACUUUGAGGGUGCAACCUUUCUGUCCCUGGCAUCAAACAGACACUUGAAAAGAAGACACGAACAGAAGGGCUUUCUGCUCAGUGGCAGCUCGACAAGACCCCAUCAGGUAAGACUGCGGAUGUCUGUGAAGUCCUCCUACUGCUCUCUCUGCCCCCACAUCUCUGGGCUCUU
rnacentral:lncRNA from 1 species